GCGCCCGUAGCUCAGCCGGAUAGAGCGUCGGUCUACGAAACCGAAGGUCACAGGUUCGAAUCCUGUCGGGCGCG
rnacentral:tRNA from 2 species